AGCUGUUCCCCUCUGGAGGUUUUUGACCUUCACACUUAUAAGGGCCCUGGUUUUCCAGUGGCCCUCUUUUUUUGCCUUG
rnacentral:sRNA from 2 species